GACGAACGCUGGCGGCGUGCCUAAUACAUGCAAGUAGAACGCUGAAGGAGGAGCUUGCUUCUCUGGAUGAGUUGCGAACGGGUGAGUAACGCGUAGGUAACCUGCCUGGUAGCGGGGGAUAACUAUUGGAAACGAUAGCUAAUACCGCAUAAGAGUAGAUGUUGCAUGACAUUUGCUUAAAAGGUGCAAUUGCAUCACUACCAGAUGGACCUGCGUUGUAUUAGCUAGUUGGUGGGGUAACGGCUCACCAAGGCGACGAUACAUAGCCGACCUGAGAGGGGGAUCGGCCCCACUUGGACUGCGACACCGCCCAGGCCCCUACGGGAGGCAGCCGUAGGGAAUCUUCCGCAAUAGACGGAAGUCUGACCGAGCAACGCCGCGGGAGUGAAGAAGGUUUUCGGAUCGUUAAGCUCUGUUGUUAGGGAAGAACGAGUGUGAGAGUGGAAAGUUCACACUUUGACGGUAUCUUACCAGAAAGCGACGGCUAACUACGUG
rnacentral:rRNA from 1 species